rnacentral:tRNA from 1 species
GUUUAUAUAGUUUAACUUAAAACAAUUCAUUUUCAUUGAAUAGAAGGGUAAUGCCCUAUAAAUA